rnacentral:rRNA from 1 species
GUGGGGAAUUUUGGACAAUGGGCAAAAGCCUGAUCCAGCCAUGCCGCGUGCAGGAUGAAGGCCUUCGGGUUGUAAACUGCUUUUGUACGGAACGAAAAGACUCCUUCUAAUAAAGGGGGUCCAUGACGGUACCGUAAGAAUAAGCACCGGCUAACUACGUGCCAGCAGCCGCGGUAAUACGUAGGGUGCAAGCGUUAAUCGGAAUUACUGGGCGUAAAGCGUGCGCAGGCGGUUAUAUAAGACAGAUGUGAAAUCCCCGGGCUCAACCUGGGAACUGCAUUUGUGACUGUAUAGCUAGAGUACGGUAGAGGGGGAUGGAAUUCCGCGUGUAGCAGUGAAAUGCGUAGAUAUGCGGAGGAACACCGAUGGCGAAGGCAAUCCCCUGGACCUGUACUGACGCUCAUGCACGAAAGCGUGGGGAGCAAACAGGAUUAGAAACCCGAGUAGUCC